rnacentral:rRNA from 1 species
CCUACGGGAGGCUGCAGUAGGGAAUAUUGCUCAAUGGGGGAAACCCUGAAGCAGCAACGCCGCGUGGAGGAUUAAGGUUUUCGGAUUGUAAACUCCUUUUGUUAGAGAAGAUAAUGACGGUAUCUAACGAAUAAGCACCGGCUAACUCCGUGCCAGCAGCCGCGGUAAUACGGAGGGUGCAAGCGUUACUCGGAAUCACUGGGCGGAAAGAGCGCGUAGGCGGGAUAGCAAGUCAGAUGUGAAAUCCUAUGGCUUAACCAUAGAACUGCAUUUGAAACUGUUAUUCUAGAGUAUGGGAGAGGUAGGUGGAAUUCUUGGUGUAGGGGUAAAAUCCGUAGAGAUCAAGAGGAAUACUCAUUGCGAAGGCGACCUGCUAGAACAUAACUGACGCUGAUGCGCGAAAGCGUGGGGAGCAAACAGGAUUAGAUACCCUAGUAGUC